AAGUUUUGCAUUAAAUAAACAUCGAAUUAUUUAAUCCGGCCCCACCAUUUUAAUACCCUCCCACCGGCUAUCCUUUCCAAAACCUUGGUAUUAUUAGUCGGACUCAGCCAAAGAAAAAUCACGCCCACUUUUCUCUAACCUAUCCCGACGUCUGCUUUGCUCUUGGGCAUCGAGACCUCCGAUCAACACUAAGUAGAUACGAACAAAGAUCCAGAGAUAUGAGAUCGAACUAUCCACACCAAGCUGAUACGAAUAGAGAACGAAAGGUAGCAGAUCGAACCCAGGGCAUCGUGACCUUCGUUCCUGGGCAUGGCCACCUCCAUUCUUGGGCAUCACGACCUCCGUUCCUGGGAAUUGCGAUUUCCGUUUCUGUUCUGACAUCUAUGGUGGCGGUUCGAAUAUCUGGGUUUGUGGCUUAAUUGCCAAUUGAUUUUGUUGAUGUGAGGGAAUUAAAUUCAAAAUUGGGAGAGAUUUCAUGUGUGUAAGGUGUAAUGGUUGCUGGGUUUUCAAGUAUUUCUGAUGUGGAUUAAGGUCUCAAUGGAUUAGAGACCAUAAGGGAUACGAGGAAGCCAACGGUGGCGGUACCACCGACUGGGUUUUUUUUUUUUGCAGUUGACAACUUUGUUAUGCAUCUCCAACUUGAUGGCAGAUGACAACUUUGUUUUUUUAUUCUUGUUUUUUUAUUUUAGUUAAGGGUUUUUCAUUAACAUCCCAUAUAAUAAUUUAAUAUUAAAUUGCUCAUAAAAUGACUAUUUAAGCCUUAAAAUGUUCUAAAAAUUAAAAA
rnacentral:lncRNA from 1 species